GAUGAACGCUGGCGGCGUGCCUAAUACAUGCAAGUCGAGCGAACGGACGAGAAGCUUGCUUCUCUGAUGUUAGCGGCGGACGGGUGAGUAACACGUGGAUAACCUACCUAUAAGACUGGGAUAACUUCGGGAAACCGGAGCUAAUACCGGAUGAUAUUUUGAACCGCAUGGUUCAAAAGUGAAAGACGGUCUUGCUGUCACUUAUAGAUGGAUCCGCGCUGCAUUAGCUAGUUGGUAAGGUAACGGCUUACCAAGGCAACGAUGCAUAGCCGACCUGAGAGGGUGAUCGGCCACACUGGAACUGAGACACGGUCCAGACUCCUACGGGAGGCAGCAGUAGGGAAUCUUCCGCAAUGGGCGAAAGCCUGACGGAGCAACGCCGCGUGAGUGAUGAAGGUCUUCGGAUCGUANAACUCUGUUAUUAGGGAAGAACAUAUGUGUAAGUAACUGUGCACAUCUUGACGGUACCUAAUCAGAAAGCCACGGCUAACUACGUGCCAGCAGCCGCGGUAAUACGUAGGUGGGCAGCGUUAUCCGGAAUUAUGGGCGUAAAGCGCGCGUAGCGGUUUUUUAGUCUGAUGUGAAAGCCCACGGCUCAACCGUGGAGGGUCAUUGGAAACUGGAAAACUUGAGUGCAGAAGAGGAAAGUGGAAUUCCAUGUGUAGCGGUGAAAUGCGCAGAGAUAUGGAGGAACACCAGUGGCGAAGGCGACUUUCUGGUCUGUAACUGACGCUGAUGUGCGAAAGCGUGGGGAUCAAACAGGAUUAGAUACCCUGGUAGUCCACGCCGUAAACGAUGAGUGCUAAGUGUUAGGGGGUUUCCGCCCCUUAGUGCUGCAGCUAACGCAUUAAGCACUCCGCCUGGGGAGUACGACCGCAAGGUUGAAACUCAAAGGAAUUGACGGGGACCCGCACAAGCGGUGGAGCAUGUGGUUUAAUUCGAAGCAACGCGAAGAACCUUACCAAAUCUUGACAUCCUUUGACAACUCUAGAGAUAGAGCCUUCCCCUUCGGGGGACAAAGUGACAGGUGGUGCAUGGUUGUCGUCAGCUCGUGUCGUGAGAUGUUGGGUUAAGUCCCGCAACGAGCGCAACCCUUAAGCUUAGUUGCCAUCAUUAAGUUGGGCACUCUAAGUUGACUGCCGGUGACAAACCGGAGGAAGGUGGGGAUGACGUCAAAUCAUCAUGCCCCUUAUGAUUUGGGCUACACACGUGCUACAAUGGACAAUACAAAGGGCAGCGAAACCGCGAGGUCAAGCAAAUCCCAUAAAGUUGUUCUCAGUUCGGAUUGUAGUCUGCAACUCGACUACAUGAAGCUGGAAUCGCUAGUAAUCGUAGAUCAGCAUGCUACGGUGAAUACGUUCCCGGGUCU
rnacentral:rRNA from 1 species